rnacentral:snoRNA from 1 species
AAGAUUAUACUUUCGGGGGUCAUUUCUAUAGUUUGUUACUAGAGAAGUUUCUCUGAAUGUAGAGUACCGGAACCCACGGGAAGAAGGUGUGGUGUUCUUUCCUGAG